CUCCACCUCCCAGUGAUGCCGGCCCGAGGAGAAGCCGCAGGACGCCAGGACGCGGGUGUUGGUGUCGAAGCGGCAGGGGUGGUUGGGCAGGUCCUGGGCCCGCUCGCCGAGGCGCACACUCUUAAGAUCCAGAGAGAGGAUGAGGCGCGGGUUGGCCGUGUCGGGAUCCAAGCGAAAUAGAAUAGAAAACAUCAAAGUGCAUACGUGUAGCAAAGACCUCCAACCCCAGGAAAAUCAGGGCACUUCUCUCCAGUCCCCUUCAGCUCCAGAUCAUGUGAUUCUCCUAGACCCCCCCAGGACUGACACUGUUCUCUAGCUGCUGGUCCUGAUGCCUUAGGAUAAAUGACUCGAGCCCCUGGCUGAGCCAGACUUACCUGGAGAAAGUCAAGGUCAGGCUUUUGAGCUGUCUCCUGGAUCUGGCUGCUGAGCUUGGACAGCUGGGUGAUCUCAGCCCCGAGCUGGGCCAGGUUCUCAUUCUGCUUCUGUGCCACCUCCCGGGAC
rnacentral:antisense_RNA from 1 species